GAACUCCUCGAGUUCAUUGCGUCGCCUUCACACGGCGGAGGUCUCCGGUUCGAGUCCGGGCGGAUCCA
rnacentral:tRNA from 1 species